CACCGGAACCUAGACCCUGCUCCCCGAGUGUGGGCUCGCCGGGCGGGAGGAACCUGCAGGUGGGGCUAGGUGAGGAGGACGUGCGCGCGGGUGGGCGCACUGCCUCGUGGCAUUCCUCCUGUGGCGGUGCACAGGUGACAGACAGCUGGGCGACCUGGAGGGCAGCUUUUUCUGGAUGGUUUGGUCUGGGGAUUCUUCGUGUGCCUGACACUUCCACGACAAGCCUUCCAAGCCAGAGGGGCCACAGUUGAGCAGCUCAGUUUUAAGCGUGAUGAACAUCCUUUUAUUCUCCAUUCCUGAUUUCAAAAAUGAACGCCUUCUUGGAAAAACCCCAACAGAGAGAGGACUGUAAUGGAGACCCAGGAGCCCUUAGAGGCAAUGCUGCUGACACGUUUCCCUUCUCCAGAUCCAAGUGCGAUUGACAAAGACACACAUUUAAACGUAAAAUAAAAAUAAAUGGGGUA